GUAUUGUGGGGACCACCUCUUCGAGAGGUGUUUGGCACUAGCCAGCAAAUGACGGCUUGCACGCGAGAAUUUAGACCCCUUCGUGCACACACCAGCCAGCCGUCGAUAGCCAGCGAAGCCGCUUUUUUUG
rnacentral:ncRNA from 1 species